AUUGAACGCUGGCGGCAGGCCUAACACAUGCAAGUCGAACGAGUGGCGGACGGGUGAGUAAUGUCUGGGAAACUGCCCGAUGUAGGGGGAUAACUCCUGGAAACGGUAGCUAAUACCGCAUACGAUCGGAUAUGCCCCGAUGGGGUUAGCUAGUAGGUGGGGUAACGGCUCACCUCGGCGACGAUCCCUAGCUGGUCUGAGAGGAUGACCAGCCACACUGGAACUGAGACACGGUCCAGACUCCUACGGGAGGCAGCAGUGGGGAAUAUUGCACAAGGGGCGCAAGCCUGAUGCAGCCAUGCCGCGUGUAUGAAGAAGGCCUUCGGGUUGUAAAGCACUUUCAGCGAGGAGGCGUUACUCGCAGAAGAAGCACCGGCUAACUCCGUGCCAGCAGCCGCGGUAAUUC
rnacentral:rRNA from 1 species